UACGGAGGAUGCAAGCGUUAUCCGGAUUUAUUGGGCGUAAAGAGCUCGUAGGCGGCCGUUCGCGUCGGAUGUGAAAGCUCAGGGCUCAACUCUGAGACGCCAUUCGAUACGGGACGGCUAGAGGUAGGUAGGGGAAAGUGGAAUUCCUGGUGUAGCGGUGAAAUGCGCAGAUAUCAGGAGGAACACCGGUGGCGAAGGCGGCUUUCUGGGCCUUACCUGACGCUGAGGAGCGAAAGCUGGGGGAGCGAACGGG
rnacentral:rRNA from 1 species